rnacentral:rRNA from 1 species
GAUGAACGCUGGCGGCGUGCCUAAUACAUGCAAGUCGAGCGAACAGAUAAGGAGCUUGCUCCUUUGACGUUAGCGGCGGACGGGUGAGUAACACGUGGAUAACCUCCCUAAAAGACUGGGAUAACUUCGGGAAACCGGCGCUAAUCCCGUAUAACAUAUUGAACCGCAUGGUUAAAUGGUAAAAGGCGGCUUUGCUGUAUCUUAUAGAUGCAUCCCGGCCGUAUUGGCUAGUUGUUAAGUUAACGGCUUACCAAGGCAACGAUACGUAGCCGACCUGAGAGGGUGAUCGGCCACACUGGAACUGAGACACGGUCCAGACUCCUACGGGAGGCAGCAGUAGGGAAUCUUCCGCAAAGGGCGAAAGCCUGACGGAGCAACGCCGCGUGAGUGAUGAAGGUCUUCGGAUCGUAAAACUCUGUUAUCAGGGAAGAACAAAUGUGUAAGUAACUGUGCACAUCUUGACGGUACCUGAUCAGAAAGCCACGGCUAACUACGUG